GAUAAACGCUGGCGGCGUGCCUAAUACAUGCAAGUCGAGCGAACGGACGAGAAGCUUGCUUCUCUGAUGUUAGCGGCGGACGGGUGAGUAACACGUGGAUAACCUACCUAUAAGACUGGGAUAACUUCGGGAAACCGGAGCUAAUACCGGAUAAUAUUUUGAACCGCAUGGUUCAAAAGUGAAAGACGGUCUUGCUGUCACUUAUAGAUGGAUCCGCGCUGCAUUAGCUAGUUGGUAAGGUAACGGCUUACCAAGGCAACGAUGCAUAGCCGACCUGAGAGGGUGAUCGGCCACACUGGAACUGAGACACGGUCCAGACUCCUACGGGAGGCAGCAGUAGGGAAUCUUCCGCAAUGGGCGAAAGCCUGACGGAGCAACGCCGCGUGAGUGAUGAAGGUCUUCGGAUCGUAAAACUCUGUUAUUAGGGAAGAACAUAUGUGUAAGUAACUGUGCACAUCUUGACGGUACCUAAUCAGAAAGCCACGGCUAACUACGUGCCAGCAGCCGCGGUAAUACGUAGGUGGCAAGCGUUAUCCGGAAUUAUUGGGCGUAAAGCGCGCGUAGGCGGUUUUUUAGUCUGAUGUGAAAGCCCACGGCUCAACCGUGGAGGGUCAUUGGAAACUGGAAAACUUGAGUGCAGAAGAGGAAAGUGGAAUUCCAUGUGUAGCGGUGAAAUGCGCAGAGAUAUGGAGGAACACCAGUGGCGAAGGCGACUUUCUGGUCUGUAACUGACGCUGAUGUGCGAAAGCGUGGGGAUCAAACAGGAUUAGAUACCCUGGUAGUCCACGCCGUAAACGAUGAGUGCUAAGUGUUAGGGGGUUUCCGCCCCUUAGUGCUGCAGCUAACGCAUUAAGCACUCCGCCUGGGGAGUACGACCGCAAGGUUGAAACUCAAAGGAAUUGACGGGGGCCCGCACAAGCGGUGGAGCAUGUGGUUUAAUUCGAAGCAACGCGAAGAACCUUACCAAAUCUUGACAUCCUUUGACAACUCUAGAGAUAGAGCCUUCCCCUUCGGGGGACAAAGUGACAGGUGGUGCAUGGUUGUCGUCAGCUCGUGUCGUGAGAUGUUGGGUUAAGUCCCGCAACGAGCGCAACCCUUAAGCUUAGUUGCCAUCAUUAAGUUGGGCACUCUAAGUUGACUGCCGGUGACAAACCGGAGGAAGGUGGGGAUGACGUCAAAUCAUCAUGCCCCUUAUGAUUUGGGCUACACACGUGCUACAAUGGACAAUACAAAGGGCAGCGAAACCGCGAGGUCAAGCAAAUCCCAUAAAGUUGUUCUCAGUUCGGAUUGUAGUCUGCAACUCGACUACAUGAAGCUGGAAUCGCUAGUAAUCGUAGAUCAGCAUGCUACGGUGAAUACGUUCCCGGGUCU
rnacentral:rRNA from 1 species